UACAGAGGGGGCAGGCGUUGUUCGGAAUUACUGGGCGUAAAGGGCGCGUAGGCGGCCUGUUAAGUCGGACGUGAAGUCCCUCGGCUCAACCGGGGAACUGCGUCCGAUACUGGCGGGCUUGAAUUCGGGAGAGGGAUGUGGAAUUCCAGGUGUAGCGGUGAAAUGCGUAGAUAUCUGGAGGAACACCGGUGGCGAAGGCGGCAUCCUGGACCGACAUUGACGCUGAGGCGCGAAAGCCAGGGGAGCAAACGGG
rnacentral:rRNA from 1 species